ensembl:lncRNA
AUGUGGGGAAUUUUCUCCUUCUCACCCUACUUGGGAGGAUGGGAGCUUCUGUCUUCCUUGGGAGAAGUACAGUUGCUGCCAAGGGAAACACAGCUGAGGAGCAGUAGUGACCCAGCCUUCCCUUUGCUUCCUUUCUUCUUCCCUCCCUGCUGCACAGCUCCUUGGUGCCAGAAGCGCAGUGCUGCCUCACCUGAGGAUUCAGAGCUGCCUCCAGGCCCUUCCAGGACAAGUCCAGAUCCUCAAGGGCGUGAAGCUUCCCCAGCACGUGCCAAGAAAGUGUUUGCUCCAUCUGGACUUGGGGUUUCAUCAGGCCAGCCAGGCACACACAAAUUUCAAUUCCAGCCAGAGCUCAUGACUCCAGCAUUUCCUGCGCACCAUCAAAGCACUUCUGCGGCCUCUCCAGAGAGCAGCAGCUGCACUUCUCCAGAGCAGCACUUGCCAGCCAACAUCCCAUCAGCUGCCCCGGGCACUUCAGUCCCCAGUGCUCCAGCUGGCAGUGCUGGUUAUGCAGCAUGGAGAGCCCCAAGCUGGGUCUGGAGUACUCCUGGGGAAGAGGAAUUGCCACCGCUGGAUCUGGACCUUGUUCUGGAGACACUGGAGGAGAUGCUUUCACCAUCUGUGCCUGAAAGGUCUCCCUCUGCUCAGGUAACUCCAUUGGACAGGGAUGAGAGGGGCUGGACUGAGAGCUUCUGAAUGUUGUUGCAUGGCUGAGAAGCAAAGGCUUCUUGAAUUCAGCUGGGAAUGGACAUGGAAGGAUUUGCUUGGUCAAGCAAGAUUUGCUAAGGAAGAGGGAAUGAAAAGGGGGGAUAGCCCUUAAGUGAGGAUGAGAGGUGUUUGCCAGGUUUGGAUGCUCCUUUUUCUGGGAAGAACUGCCCAUAUCUUCUUGCCAAGCACGAUGACCUUUUGUCUCCUGCAAACUCCCGCAUAGCAGCUUUCAAAAGCAAUUUGUUGGUGCACAGAAGGAAAUCUGGCAGGCUCUGAUUGUAUCCCUGCAGAAUCUAUUGGUUGAUCUUUGCGUUUCCUUCUUUCUGUUUUUCUUUUCAGGUCAAUGCUAGUGUUGCCCGUGGCUCUUCAGGAGGGGAGGCUGUGAACAAGGCUGCAGCAGAGGGAGCUUUGCCUGCUUGCGGGAGCUGUGUAAACAUUUGCCAGGAGCCCGAGGAGCUUGGUAAGGAGUGAGCCCAGCGUGGUUUAGAGAGAUGGGAGACAGCUGCUCUGAGCCUGCCUCUGACAGGAAGAGAGAUGAGAAGAGUUGAGUUCUUGUCUGCAGCAGGGUUGGUGCUUCCUGGUGCUUUUAGUUCCAAUCCUGCACUGGCACAAGCUCCCCGAGCCCUGCCCCUCCAUGCUUUUCCCAGAGGCUCUGACACCGAGUCCUCUGCUGUGGCAAGAGAGCCGGCAAGAAACCUGAGCUGGUGGCAGUUGUGUCACCAAGCUGCGUGUCCCAAUUGGUUCCCAGCUCACAGCAGCCUUCAGCUUCAGCCACUGCAGUGAGGACUGACGUCUCUGCGUCAGCCCAGAGAAAGAACAAGGCUGGGCUUCUUUGUGGCAGCUGGCACUGUCUGUGUUUCAAGCUCUCAGGGGUGCCAUUUGCACUGGGAGGGUUGUGAAUUGAUUGGCGUACUUCAAAACUUCACAAGACUGGAAAACUUGGAAGGAUCCCUGUUCCCUUUAAAGAGCAGGCUUCAGAUUCUCAAGU